UCUUCGAUCGUGGAUGUCGCGAUUGAAUCGCGGCGCUGCUCACACCUCCGAGCUGCGCGGUAAGAGAUCAUUACCUCUCCCACCCAUUAGCCGUACAUCUCAUAUAAAUCCAUCGCGAAGGUGGGGUGCGGGGAGGAGCUGUACUUUCUUAGAUUGGGUGGAGACGGGCCGACCUCCGCGCUGCAGCGCUUUUGUCUUCUUGGACAUGCGGCGGACUUAUUUGGCGAGUGGUCGUGUUGUUUGUGGGUGGUGCAGUCACAUGUGUGACAGUUGGGGUGAAGGUGGGUUCCUCAGAAGGAGGUGUGCUUGAAGGGGAAAGGUGCAGUUCCUGUUGAGAUGGUUGUGCGAGCUGGAGCUUGCACUCAAGUACAUUAAGUUGCAAUAGAGAGCAAGGAGAGUGCAGCCGAGAAGUGAUAUUAGGAUCCAGGCUGGACUUUGGAUUGAACCGUAUGUCUCAAAAGAUGAGAUUCUUUGGACCUAAGGUCCAUGAUCCUUCCCUAGCCGCAAAGGAUGCAAUGUUCAAGCUGGCUCGUGAGCAGCACCGACGAGAUGUUUGCAAUGCUCGACUGCAGGAUUUAGAGAAAGAACUGCAGAUGUUCUCCGAAGAAUUUGGCAGCCGAUUACACGACUUACGCAUUUCUAUGAAGGAGGUUUUUCAUGCUGCGCCCGAAAUGAAAACUUUCAGUGGUAGUCCCGACGAAGCAAAAUCAGAGGGACUAGAUUCCAACAGUCAUGACCUCGAGUGAGAUCUACUGAAGAAUAUAUAUGCCACACUAAUCCCCUACUUGAGCCCAUCUUUACAUGCCCGUCUAACGUUACAAAAUAUGAGGCGAGUUGCAUUGGGAUCUCGUACUUCUCCUCAUGCGUUACUUGUUGCGCGAGGAUUUCUUGCUGUAAGAUAGACUAAUUAGAAUAAGAGGUGACAUACUCCUAAUCUGCAUUGACUCUACUUGUGGUCUAAAUCAACCACUAUUUAAUGAGAUUUUCACUGCAUUCGUCAA